rnacentral:rRNA from 1 species
GAUGAACGCUGGCGGCGUGCCUAGUACAUGCAAGUCGAGCGAACGGACGAGAAGCUUGCUUUUCUGAUGUUAGCGGCGGACGGGUGAGUAACACGUGGAUAACCUACCUAUAAGACUGGGAUAACUUCGGGAAACAGGAGCUAAUACCGGAUAAUAUUUUGAACCGCAUGGUUCAAAAGUGAAAGACGGUCUUGCUGUCACUUAUAGAUGGAUCCGCGCUGCAUUAGCUAGUUGGUAAGGUAACGGCUUACCAAGGCAACGAUGCAUAGCCGACCUGAGAGGGUGAUCGGCCACACUGGAACUGAGACACGGUCCAGACUCCUACGGGAGGCAGCAGUAGGGAAUCUUCCGCAAUGGGCGAAAGCCUGACGGAGCAACGCCGCGUGAGUGAUGAAGGUCUUCGGAUCGUAAAACUCUGUUAUUAGGGAAGAACAUAUGUGUAAGUAACUGUGCACAUCUUGACGGUACCUAAUCAGAAAGCCACGGCUAACUACGUG